GUGACUGGGGGGCGGAGCUUAUCGGUUCUCCUGGGAAGUUCGGCAGGUACAGACCAGAGGGAACCCGCCCGGCCGACGUUAGUAGGCUGUUAUCUUUUUUGGUCAGGAAAAAAGGUCUCCAAUUUGAGCAAGCGGGGGGCGAUCCCGGCGUCAGGGCGGAUGGAAUCGUCGAAGCGCGUGUCUGACUGGUCGGUGGACGAGGUGUUGGAGUGGGUGGAGCAGCAGUUCCCGGGUCAGCAAAGCACGCUGCAGACGGCCUUUCUGCAGCACGCAGUGUCAGGUACGAGGAGCUGAUGUCCUAUUCUCUCGCUCUAUGAGAGGUUAGGGAGUGCGUCCAAUUAUCCAUCAAAGAAUCGGUCCGCUGGCCAAAUCUGACAGGUUCUUGAGUUCGAGCCGGACAAUUAGGCUUUACAACUAACAAUGAAGCUUCCCUUUACUCCCCAGCCAUGCAAGUCGACAAAUCAAAGUAAAACGAAAUGUCUGCAAGUAAGACCUUUCUCCUAUGUUUAAUAAGAACUGAUUUUUCUGCAUUGCUAAUCUAAUCGUUCAAUUCGAUUAGAUUCAAAGGUAUGAGACUCAGUGUUUUUAUAAACAAACGCACAGUAUACCACAGGGUCAGCAAGGCAAGGGUCGACUCCGUCAUCCAUAUCAACCAAUGUAAUGUUGUGUUCCUCCUGUCCCCGCAGGCCGAGCGCUGCUGCGGAUGAGGGGGCACCACCUACACCACCUGGGGGUGGAGGCCCCGGCCCAGCAGGGCAUCCUGCAGGACAUCCUGCUCCUCCGGGUGCAGGAGGAGCUGGACAAUCUCAACGACAUCUUCUCGGAAUGCUUUGCUUCAUGAAUGAAGACCCACAACAGCCAAAACAUUUCUGCCAUGCCAGACAUUAUUUGCCUUCCAAAUCCGACCCCAGUGGAGGAAGAGUGCAUUGGAGAGACUGACAAGAAGGGAGUGAGGGACUGAUUGAGCAGGUCAGCCAGAUCGCAGGCACGCAAGUGAGCAACAGAAAGACAAUUCGCCCGUUUCCUGUGUGAAAUCGUGUCCUGUUCAAGAGAGACCAGACUAUGCUGUUUUCGUCCGGGUUGUGUCCUCUCUCUCUCUCUCUCUCUCUGUCUCUCUCUCUGUCUCUGUGGAGUGCACUGGCUUGCAGCCAUUUCAGCAGCGGAGGAGAACAUAAUUUCCCACAGCUUGUCUGCCACCCAGCCCGCCUCCCACUAAUCAUGACCAGUCGCAAAUUGACUUUUUGGGGCUUUUUGUCCAUCACAACCACGGAACCACCAUACAUCUGGCCUAUAGAGUAACGAAGUGAGCUGUGGGAAAGAGGAGCAAAAAGCUAACUACACAAACAGGAAUGAGAAUGAGGCAGUUAGUGUCGAGCUCCCAAGUAAAGACAUUCAAGAAGAGGUUGGAGUGGUUGUCAAGGUUCGGACCAUCUAACUAAUGUUCAACCCAAAACUGCGCUCUCCAUAAUGAGAACUGAUGGAUACGAUAUGCAUCUGUGUUUAUUUAACCAUCGGUAUCGCUUUCAAAAUAUCCGAUGCAAAAUACUUGGGAGAUCGUAAUCUCUUCACAAUGCCAUUGCUGUUCACUGCCUGAAUAAAAACAUCCAAACUUAGAAUUGGUUUGGACAAUAACACAAGCAAAAAU
ensembl:lncRNA